AUUGAACGCUGGCGGCAGGCCUAACACAUGCAAGUCGAGCGGAUGAGGGUAGCUUGCUACCUGAUUCAGCGGCGGACGGGUGAGUAAUGCCUAGGAAUCUGCCCGAUAGUGGGGGACAACGUUUCGAAAGGAACGCUAAUACCGCAUACGUCCUACGGGAGAAAGUGGGGGAUCUUCGGACCUCACGCUAUCGGAUGAGCCUAGGUCGGAUUAGCUAGUUGGUGAGGUAAUGGCUCACCAAGGCUACGAUCCGUAACUGGUCUGAGAGGAUGAUCAGUCACACUGGAACUGAGACACGGUCCAGACUCCUACGGGAGGCAGCAGUGGGGAAUAUUGGACAAUGGGCGAAAGCCUGAUCCAGCCAUGCCGCGUGUGUGAAGAAGGUCUUCGGAUUGUAAAGCACUUUAAGUUGGGAGGAAGGGCUGUAGGCUAAUAUCCUGCAGUUUUGACGUUACCAACAGAAUAAGCACCGGCUAACUUCGUGCCAGCAGCCGCAGUAA
rnacentral:rRNA from 1 species